rnacentral:lncRNA from 11 species
GGCGAGCGUCCGGGAAGCUUGGUCAAUUUAGGGGGCGCCUAGAGAGGCAGGGAAGAGGAAUGGCGACAAUUGUGGUUGUUUAUAGAUUUGCUUCAGCCAACUUAAUGCCUCACCAUAGACCAGUGGUUCUCAACCUGUGGGUCCCCAGGUGUUUUGGCCUAUAACUCCCAGAAAUCCCAGCCAGUUUACCAGCUGUUAGGAUUUCUGGGAGUUGAAGGCCAAAACAUCUGGAGACCUACAGGUUGAGAAUCGCUGCCAUAGACUGUGACGACUGGGCCUGAUGGGAGUUGUAGGCCAAGAAAAAAAAUAUGCUUAUUAUUCCCUUACUUAGGCGAUCCCUCGUUGGCCCUCCGAGAGUUGUGCCUUGGCGGUGGAUGCGUAGGUGACUGUAGCAGCUCGAGUUCCCUUUCUAUUACUGAGGAGACGUUAAAGGCGACUAAAUGUCUAGCAAGAGUUGUGGCCCCACAGGGCACGCCUAGCAGAUAAAAAAUUCGAGACUCAGCAAAGGCCAUGGGCCUGGUCAUACAACAGGACGAGCAACCAACAGAGACAU